ensembl:snRNA U6 U6 spliceosomal RNA
GUGCUUGCUUUGGCAGCACAUGUAUAAAAAUUGGAAGAAUGCAGAGAUUAGCAUGACCCCUCGAGAAGGAUGACGCAAAAAUUCAUGAAGCAUUGCAUUAAUUA